UCUGAAUACUCACAUCCACACCUUCAGAAUGAAAAAAAUUUGUCUGAGUUCCGCCUUGUAAGGCCACCAUUGUCUUCUCAGUCGGCUUUGGAAAGUGAAUUCCCAACGCUUCACAUGGUCUCAUGUGCCACCCUUGGGAGUCCAGAGGCAAAGCUGGGCUUAAUACUGACUCCAGUGGUCCCCAUCCAUAGAGAAGGGAACGUUCUCAGAGCUGCAACAUGAGCCUGGUAGGACUCAGGGCUGAAGGUGGGAAAGCUCCUCUGGCAUUAGAAGCACGAACUGUGUGACCGCAAGAUUUCACAGUCUGUGGGGGUGAAAGACAACAAUGAUGAUGGACAAAGGACUUGUGAGAAAUCACCAAACUCUCAAAGUGGGCUAUCAUCAGCUUUCAAGUUGCUAGCCUAACAGAAAAUGUAUGGAUGAUAACUAGGGAGGUGAUGCUUCUUCUCCUGUUCUCAUCCUCAGAGAAUACCUCCUUCCCAAAUGUUUUUGUUUCCUGUAUGUAAAAUGCAGAUAACGGUAAUCCUUUGUGAAGAGCUUUGAAAUCUGUGUUUGAAACCCGCUGCUCAUAGCAAUAGCCUGCAGGCUAUCACUACUUUCAGACGGACUCUGAUAGGGUAGAGGAGGUGGUGUUAAUGCUCAAGACUGUAGAGCAAGGCUUCAUUCAGCCUUGGCUCCCCCAAUCACCAACCUUUCAGGAAUGUGCAAAGAUUAUCUCUUUUUCUUUGAGAAGGCAUGGUCUGAGAUACUGAGCAGUGAGAGGGCCAAUCUGGUUCUAAGUUUAGUGGUGCUAACAAUAAAUAUUGUGAUUGUUUUAAAAAUAAUUGUACUGACCUUUAAGGAGGCUGCCAGAAUCUGGGCUGGGCUUUUUCAAUGAAUGUAUUCAAUAAAAGACAUUAUAAAAAGGUUGCAUUUCCUCUCUACCCACAACCUAAAUAUAAACUGAUUAUACAUUAAAGACAAAAUAAUGUCAUUUAGCAUCAAUGCAAUCAUACAAUUACAUUGUGCACUUGAAAUAAAUUUGCCCACUUGGACUGUAAUUUUACUGUAAUUGCCAAGAAUAUUCUGACUCCUGUCUCUAAAAAUCAUUGUCUUUUCUUCUUUUACUAAUGUUUUUGAGGGAGGAAUGCAGGGGGUCCUCGAGUC